rnacentral:piRNA from 1 species
AAUUAACAAACUGCAAGCAUCUGU